UUCACUCUUUUUUUUCACAUUUUCGGAAUGUAACUGUAGAAAACAUGGUUCGAUUCUUUAGAGUGGUGUCGAUUCUAAUUUUGGUUUCCGUGACAGCAUUGAUGGUAGUGCUACCACUAAUGUUGCCAUCACUCCCUCCGCCGCCGCUUGUUCUCCUCUUCUUCCCUGUUGGCAUAAUGGCGGUGCUUAUGUUGUUGGCGUUUGUGCCGUCGGAGGCGCCCAUGACUACAAAUGUCAUCGUCUAGGAGAUGAUGGAAUAAUAGGGAAUACAAUAGGCUCUAUGUUGGAUUUCAAGUGGUGGAGUGUCCCGUGCGUGUCUCGUUGUGAAUUAGUGUGUCCAAACAAUAUGCAUGAAGGGAAAGGAGUAUGAGAUUAUAUAUGAAAGGUACUGUUGCUUUGUUUUUGAGCCAUGAUAAUUUCUUUGAUCUGUGGUGGAACUUUAGAAGUUGCAUAGAUUAAGCAGGUUGCGGAUAUGUUGUAUAUAUGAAAAAAUGUUUUAAGGGUCAACAUAUAUAGCAACUUUGGGGGAAAACUAUAUGCUAUGAGAUCAUAAGGAGUUUAUGUAGUAUGCUUGGAUAUGCAUCUAAAUAGUAUUGGGUAUAUAUUUCAGCAAGGAAUGCACUGCUGGAAUAUAUAUCAAAUGGUUGGAGUUUAUUUGCUUACAAAUUAGGAAUUGACAUCAAAGUGUAAAACCGGUGAUGUGCUCACCAAAUUUGACAUUUUUUUUGCCAGAUGAUCUUUUA